rnacentral:sRNA from 2 species
AUAGGUAUGUACUUGGUGGCCGAGGGAGGUUGCUGGAUUGCCUGAUCGAGCUGUUCCGAGUGGACAGAUACGGGCUGAUACAAGCUUGUUGUCAACCAGCUAGAUGAGGGGUAGAUGCAGCAUAUUUUUCCCCUCAGGUCUUAUUUGUUGAUUAGCGUACUCCGUAAGGCCAGUGAUGUUCAUCCAUUUGGAGGUAUGCUUGCUCGCAGCACUGGGUGGGAGAAUCCUUGAAGAUGGGGUGGUCAGGUCGAGCCUUUGUCUAUGCUGCAGAAUAUUGUCUGGCUAUGAUAUGAUUGUCCUGUGAUUUAGAGUCUCUACCACGCUUCCAACAGCGAUAUUCAACUUUUGCAUGACGGCUGCAAUGCCGUUUCUGAAUUUCUGUUAUGUGGACCGCCAGGGGUUUCGCGGAGCCAAGCAAAUAUUACUUUCACAACAAUUUUUCAUACAUACGAAGAAUCCCAAAAAAUAGCACAAGAUAUAGUUUUAUAAAGCACUAUGUAUCUGUUAUAUGACAGCCAGUGU